AAUUUAAUCAAUGUUAAACACCGGUCUUGAAAACCGGCGUGCCCGCAAGGGUACCGUGGGUUCGAAUCCCACCCCUUCCGCCA
rnacentral:tRNA from 1 species